GCGCUCUGUGCUCCCUCGGCGUACGCAUAGUAGUCGCUAGUCUAGUCUUAUCGCCGGGGACCCUCUUUUAUCCCGCUGAACGCAAGUAAAAAAAAAGUGUUUGCACUGGUCAUAGAGAUUGGUAAGCUUUUGGUUUAUAAACUUACCCGAUUGGAAGUACGAUAGAGGGACGAACCCACUGGGCCAACAAGACCUGGUUGUACAGUGCCGAUGUCUCCUACAUAGAAAAUUGGUUGGUUCGUAGCACUCCUAAGACCCUAAAUGUGUAAAUAAUGAUCAUUAGUACAAUAAAACAACAAUUACUUUAUUUUGAUCAAUAAUAUUGGAAAAAAAGUCUACCUGAUAGCCAUGUUCCAGCUCAGUGUAUGACAUGUCAAAGCAACUGUCAUUGAUAAUAAAAAUAAUUCACGGUCCAGUGACAAAACUGCCCUCUCACUGCUAAAGUAUAACAAUCUUGACUGAAAACUGAAAUAAAAUUCAUCAAUUGAUUAUCAAAAAUAGAAGGAAAAAUUCUGUUAGAUUUGAUUGAUUACUUGAUUUGUAUAGUACAAGCUUUGUAUUUAUGUAACAAAUAUCACAAGAUCAAUGGAUAAAGAUACUGUAAUCAUAUGAUGAAAUAAAAAGUCAGGCUCACGAAGGACUUAAUACCCUCCAGGCUACUGAUAAAACAUUGUUCGACGAGUAUGAUACCAAAUCAAAUAGUUGACAAGUUAGAACAACAAUGGCAACAUUGAAAUAAAUCCCAAAUUGUUCUUCACCCAAAUACCUUGAAACUCAAUCUCAAUGUCAAGGUAGAGAAUCAGAGAUAUUUUUAACCGAACGCUUCCAAAUCCACUGCUGGCUCGGACUGUACAAGCUCUAGAAAAUACCGAUCCAGCCCGCAGCACCAUCUCACCGAUGCAGUAUCUAAAAAAUGCAGCGCACUAACGGAGGAGAGAAGACCCGAGACGACGUGCGUCAAUCGUCGAACGAGGGGGUGUGGGAAUCGCGCACACGGACACGACCACUACGAGGGUAUAUCCAAAACACGUUUCGUCGGGGAUUACUCAGCUGUUAGUCGACGGACUCACCCGUGGACUCGUCCCCCGAUGAGAGUGAGUUCAGUCAGUUGUCAAACUAUACCUAUACCUAAUGCUGCAGCUGCGUGUAAAGUGUCUCGUUGUUUUGACUCUGCGAUAUGUAUACAGCGUGUGGUAGAUCAUACACAAGCGAUUAAUUGUGAAUGAAUUUGAAAUCCCCGUCAAUACUUGAAGAUAUUGCGCGACAUUAGCGAAUAAUCGAAGUUCGACGGAGGUGCGCGCGCAAAAGAGGGCCACUUUCGAUUGUAGGGCAGAACGAUGCGUAUAUAUAGCUCGUUUCAGCUGCUCUCUCUCUCUCUCUCUCUCUCUCUCUCUCUCUCUCUCUCUGCCUGGCGGAACUUUUGAAAUUUCUCAGACGGAGAGGGGGCUUUUAUUUUUGUAUAAGUACAUGAUUGUUUUGGGAACUCGAUGGGAAAUUGAUAUGUUGAACGUAUGCGUGUCAUCUUGUGUGGGGGUUAACAACUUUCUGGUUCGUAUAGAUAACAAAUUUAUAUUUACAGAUUUUAACUAAAAGUACUUGUUAUUGAUUUAAGGAUUUAAAUGUAAAAUAUGCAAUUGCUGAAAUAAAAAAUUUAUUUUAUCAUUGAAAGAUUUACACCUUUGUAAUUUAUGCACAAUUCAAGGCUAGUACAAAAUACGCAACGUCGAUGUAAAAUAAAAUAUAUCGCCUUAACACAAUAUUGGCAUUACAAGCGACAUUAAUUUCAUAAAUACUGUAAAUAUUAAUAACAUUCAAACUUAAAAAAAUAA